UCACGUCUUACGACGGCAGUUUCACUAGAGUUCCCAGCGUUACCUGAUGGCAACUAGUGAUGGGGGUUGCGCUCGUUGCGGGACUUAACCCAACAUCUCACGACACGAGCUGACGACAACCAUGCACCACCUGUCACUCUGUCCCCCGAAGGGGAACGUCCUAUCUCUAGGAUUGUCAGAGGAUGUCAAGCCUUGGUAAGGUUCUUCGCGUCGCGUCGAAUUAAACCACACGCUCCGCUGCUUGUGCGGGCCCCCGUCAAUUCCUUUGAGUUUUAGCCUUGCGGCCGUACUCCCCAGGCGGGACACUUAACGCGUUAGCUCCGGCACGGCCCCGUAAAGGGCCACACCAAGUGCUCAUCGUUUAGGGCUAGGACUAC
rnacentral:misc_RNA from 1 species